rnacentral:rRNA from 1 species
UCCCCUAUCGCGGAUCGUGGAGACACUUUCCUUCAGUUCGGCUGGAUAGGUGACAGGUGCUGCAUGGCUGUCGUCAGCUCGUGUCGUGAGAUGUUGGGUUAAGUCCCGCAACGAGCGCAACCCUCGCCUUUAGUUGCCAGCAUUUAGUUGGGUACUCUAAAGGAACCGCCGGUGAUAAGCCGGAGGAAGGUGGGGAUGACGUCAAGUCCUCAUGGCCCUUACGCGUUGGGCUACACACGUGCUACAAUGGCGACUACAGUGGGCAGCCACCUCGCGAGAGGGAGCUAAUCUCCAAAAGUCGUCUCAGUUCGGAUCGUUCUCUGCAACUCGAGAGCGUGAAGGCGGAAUCGCUAGUAAUCGCGGAUCAGCAUGCCGCGGUGAAUACGUUCCCAGGCCUUGUACACACCGCCCGUCACACCAUGGGAGUUGGAUUCACUCGAAGGCGUUGAGCUAACCGUAAGGAGGCAGGCGACCACAGUGGGUUUAGCGACUGGGGUGAAGUCGUAACAAGGUAAGCGUAGAUGA